rnacentral:rRNA from 1 species
UGGGGAAUUUUGGACAAUGGGCGAAAGCCUGAUCCAGCAAUGCCGCGUGUGUGAAGAAGGCCUUCGGGUUGUAAAGCACUUUUGUCCGGAAAGAAAUCCUUGGCUCUAAUACAGUCGGGGGAUGACGGUACCGGAAGAAUAAGCACCGGCUAACUACGUGCCAGCAGCCGCGGUAAUACGUAGGGUGCAAGCGUUAAUCGGAAUUACUGGGCGUAAAGCGUGCGCAGGCGGUUUGCUAAGACCGAUGUGAAAUCCCCGGGCUCAACCUGGGAACUGCAUUGGUGACUGGCAGGCUAGAGUAUGGCAGAGGGGGGUAGAAUUCCACGUGUAGCAGUGAAAUGCGUAGAGAUGUGGAGGAAUACCGAUGGCGAAGGCAGCCCCCUGGGCCAAUACUGACGCUCAUGCACGAAAGCGUGGGGAGCAAAACAGGAUUAGAUACCCUGGUAGUCCACGCCCUAAACGAUGUCAACUAGUUGUUGGGGAUUCAUUUCCUUAGUAACGUAGCUAACGCGUGAAGUUGACCGCCUGGGGAGUACGGUCGCAAGAUUAAAACUCAAAUGAAUUGACGGGG